UUUCCUUUAAGUAUUCUCUCAUCCAGGAAAAAAAAUCUGUUCUUAUCAGCUUAAUAUCAGUUACAUUCUGCAUCACAGGACUAGAAUAUUAAACUCAUUUCUGGCUCAUGGCAGAGUGCUAAAAGCAUGCUUUACCUCACUUUCAAACUCUCGUAAAGUAGUCAAAUACAUUUUGCAUAAAGAUCAUGAA